CAGUAGCCGCGGGAAAACCGAGGGUGCAAGCGUUAAUCGGAUUUACUGGGCGUAAAGGGCGCGUAGGUGGUUAUGUAAGUGAGAUGUGAAAUCCCCGGGCUCAACCUGGGAACUGCAUCUUAUACUGCGUAGCUGGAGUGCAGUAGAGGGUAGUGGAAUUUCCGGUGUAGCGGUGAAAUGCGUAGAUAUCGGAAGGAACACCAGUGGCGAAGGCGGCUACCUGGACUGACACUGACACUGAGGCGCGAAAGCGUGGGGAGCAAACAGGAUUAGAUACCCCUGUAGUCCCUGUCUCUUAUAA
rnacentral:rRNA from 1 species